rnacentral:lncRNA from 1 species
CGGCUUCUUGGGCGGUGGCGGCGCCUUGGGCGUCGGUGGUUUUGGCUUCGGCUUCGGCUUCGGCUUCGGGGCAGGCGGGCAAGGCUUCGGCUUCGGCUUCGGCGCAGGCGGCUUCGGAGGACCAGGCGAUGGCGGCCUCGGCUUCGGAGGACCAGGCGAUGGCGGCUUCGGGCCAGGACCAGGCGACGGCGGCCUCGGGGCAGGACCAGGCGAUGGCGGCCUCGGGGCAGGCGGCAUCGGGGCAGGGGGCUUGGGGCCAGGACCAGGCGCUGGCGGGCCGUGGUGGAAGCACUUGUCGCAGCAGCUCUUCAGGCACGUCAUUUUCUCUUUGCUAACUGCAAAAUGGAUUAUAUAUACAAACAGAACUAAAGCAACGCAUGGAUAGAUAUAUAGUACUUACAGUAUGUGAUUAGGGUUCCAGAAAUAAUGUCUACAGAAACGACUGUAUGUACAUACAGGGUGGGAAGCAGAGGCAGUUGGUGACGACGCACUGGUGGUAGCAGACGGCCGGCAGGUCCUCGAAGCACUCGUUCAGGCACCUGUCCUUGCACUUGCCGCCGGAGACGGCAGAGACGUUCGAGCCGGGGGUGUCGUCGUGGCAGUUCCCCGUGCACGACUUGAAGCACUUCCAGUGGUACAUGUGCUCGUCGUCCACCGCACUCGCCGCCGCGGCGAGGAGGAGCGCGGCGACAGCCAGGACGACGACGCCGAGCGCGCUGCCCGGCGCUUUGCCGCAGCCCGCCAUCGCUCUCUCGCUACCACCUUAGCUCGCUGGUCUCUCUCUCGGUCGGUCGUCCAAUGUGAGCUGAUCGAUGAGCUUAAUUAACUGCUGCGCGCAGAGCUCUGUGGAUGGGAUGCGGCCGGCAUGGCGUCUCCUUCGGGCCGGCCCUAUAUAUAUAUAUAUGUAUAUGCUGCGGCGUGCGCGACGCGGGCAUGCGUGCACACUGAAAGCGUGAGGCCGCGGCACCCGGGCUCAGCUCGCGGCCUGAUCGAUGCGUGCACGGAACGGUUGGAGCCAGCGGGCUGCGGAGUGCGCCGAGCUGAACUGAACGAUCGAUGGGCCGCCGACGAUCCGCGCGGAUUCAUGCUUUUCUUGUUCUCCUGGCUAUGCUUAGGUCUGCGGUUUCUAUGCCAUGCGUGCGCGUUCGUGUGCUUUCCUCGUCGUCACUGCUGUGAACUUGUCUCGGUUCUCUCUGUGUCGUUUUCACUGUUGAGUUUCUAAUUGAUUUGAACUUUUCCUCAUGAUCCGACUUCGUAAUCCGCUAGACUCAAAAUUCAACGGUGCAUGGAGAAUGAUCCAGUUAGCUUUCGAAUGGAUCAGAAGCCUUUCAAACGCGUGGGUUCAAAACUUCCAAUCACUACAACAGACGCACUUUUUGCCAACAAGUGCAAUAAGCUUUGCCGAGUGUUAAAAGUUGAGCACUCAGCAAAGCACCUCUUUGCCGAGUGUCAUACUUGGUAAUGGUAAAGAACAACACUCGUAAACAGAUGCUUUGCCGAGUGCUAGACACUCGGCAAAGAAAGGCACUCGAUAAAGCUUCUUUUUGCCGAGUGUCUAGCACUCGGCAAACUAAAGUACUCGGCAAAGACGAGUAUACCCAGAUCACAUCGACACCUUUUGCCGAGUGUCCACCGUUAGGCACUCGGCAAAGUACAUGAGUCCAGUAGUGAAUGGGAAAGAAUUUAAGUUCUCUCCGAAUUUUUGGACUUCUUCUAGUGUUCAAAUAGAAGUGUUAUUGGAGAAUUUGGAUGACCUUCGAAUGGACAUCCGAACUCUUAUGACAAGUUGACAACACGCACACGCGACAAAAUAGAAGAUAUGUAUUUAUGGGCAUAUUUGGCACACCUCACCACUCAUGUGUUUUUUUAGCCAAACACAUUUUUAUUACGGUAGGAAAGACAUAAGUUAAAAUGAAACCGAAAAUAGUAGCUUAUCCUUGCUUCAUGGGUAUAUUGCACUAUUAUCUUCUCUCAGCCACACAAGAGUUAUUGGUGAAGAUAUUUUGCCAAACACUUUUUUACAAAACAGCUCUGCUUCAGUAAAAAUAUUGUUUGUAAAACAGUUUAAAAAAAAUAACUUUACUAGUGAAGCUGGGUUGUGCUAAACUGACCUUAUAUGUAAGACACUAUUUACAUUGACUAAAUGCACUCUUAGUUCCACGAGUAUUAUAUUUACAUGUAAGGCACUACAUUGGCUAAAAUAAAUUGCUAGCUGCUAAUAAAAAGCUCUAGCUAAUCUAAACAAUCCACUUUAUAGUUCAGCUUAUAACCUAUUUUGAACUAUUCAACUGCUCAAUUUUUUUUUAAAAAAAACUGCUAGGGCCUUGUUUAGUUCCCAAAAAAGUUUUAAAGAUUUUACAGAUUUUCCGUCACAUCGAAUUUUACGACAAAUGCAUGAAACAUUAAAUAUAGAUAAAAAUAAUAACUAAUUACACAGUUUACCUGUAAUUUGCGAGACGGAUCUUUUGAGCCUAUUUAGUCCAUGAUUGGAUAAUAUUUAUCAAAUAUAAACGAAAGCGCUAGCGUGCUCAUUUUGUCAAAAAAAAUUGGAACUAAACAAGGCCUAGCUGGUUCCCUCCUGUUAUUGUAGGUUAAAAAAAGUUUAAUUGAUUCAAACAGAGCCUUAUUUACUUGUUUAUUUUGGUUAGUUUAGUCAGUGUGUAGCAAAAGAAACAUGUGAAAAGCAUUGUCAAAAGCUUUUGUAUAAUUAACUAGUUAACGGAAUUCUACACGUCAGCACUCAUCACCAUAAGGUUAUAAUAUAUAUAUAUAUAUAUAUAUAAUACCAGAAAAUCAUCAUCAUCAGAUUACUAAUUCUCAUGAAAUCAGAAAUAAUUGGACAAACAUAGAUAAAAGCUUCAUCAAUCAUCAAAGAUAUGCAUUUAGCAGUGCAAAUUGAUGACCUUAUCAUCGUAAGGAUAUCAAUUUGUCCACCUUACUUUACCAAUAAAAUUUGGUCAACUAAAGAAGAAUGAUUGACAUUCAUAGUGCUUAGGAUAUCAUUGGAUCCUUCACUCUAUUCUAGUCGUCGUCACCGGUUUGGAUCACUAGGUCUUUUCACUCUAUUCAUAGUGCUUAUAGGAUCCUUCACUCUAUUUCCUUGACUUGUCCUCUUUCACCUCCUUCUGCCCACAAAUGGCCUAAUUCUAGUCGUCGUCACCAGUUUGAAUGACCCCAUUGUUAAACGGUAUUGAGCACCGUCUUGGUUCAAUGAACCGUGUAUAGAUAGGUUUGUUAGGAUGUCUUGUAAUAAUCUAAGUAGAUGAGAUCUUGUAGGCCAAGUUAUUUGUUGUAAUUUCCUUGUUUCAUGUAAGCGCCACUGUGGAGGCUCUUCCCACGCAUAUAUUAACACACAACCGAGACCCUAAGGGGCAACUCGUUCAUCCAACUUAACACCCAUAAGUGUAAAUCCGCACAUUGCCACCGAGAGCCCUUAACGCUAAGCUUGGUUUAGUAUUAUAGAGCAACAGAGAUAAUAGCACAUAUAUACAUUGCCACCGGGAGCUCUAUAAUUCUAGCACUAUAGAGCAACAGAGAUAAUAGCACUAUAUUGCUUCUUUUGCUCGCAGCAGUUAACUGCACUCUCCAAACUGCGUACAAUAUAUAUGCGUCGUAUAUAGUGGGCCGGAUCCACUUGAUGCACACGUUAAGUAUAUGAGUUAUAUAUAUAUUCUGAUGACCGGUGGAUCCAUCGUAUCAGUUGUUGUUCACCUCGUCGCUGCCGGGAGGACACGGCUUCUUGGGCGGUGGUGGCGCCUUGGGCGUCGGUGGCUUCGGCUUGGUCGGGGCAGGCGGGCUAGGCUUUGGUGGCUUCGGCUUCGUCGGGGCAGGCGGCUUUGGCGCUGGCGGCCUCGGCGGUGGCUUCGGCAUCGUCGGGGCAGGCGGCUUCGGGCCAGGACCAGGCGCUGGCGGGCCGUGGUGGAAGCAUUUCUCGCAGCAGCUCUUCAGGCACAUCGUUUUCUCGUUGCUAA